rnacentral:sRNA from 1 species
AAACUUAGAAGGCUUUUUAAGUCUCUUGGGCUAUUUGAAAGUGUUGGUACAUACAAUGACGUUUAGUCACCAGUAUUAAGGGAAAUAAAAGCCUUUUUCAAAACGAAGCUUCCACAGUGUCCAUGCAUUUGGGAAAUACUAUAUUUGAUUUUUUGCAUGUAUGAUUAUACCAUGAGAGACAGGAUUAAUAUAGAAGAUGGCAAGGCAAAUUUCUAAUUAGAGGGAAUAUUAAUUUUCUACAAAAUAAAGUUUGUUCAUCAAUACAAACCUGCUUUCAAAUCAAAUCAGAAAGACAUCCUUCGGAAUGUGUUCAGAACCCAAACAUCAUGUCAAUGGCAACAGAACAGUCGAACCUUUCCCAGAGGGAACACAGAUGGCUGUAUUUGGAAUGGGCUGUUUCUGGGGAGCUGAAAGGAAAUUCUGGGUCUUGAAAGGAGUAUAUUCAACUCAAGUUGGUUUUGCAGGAGGCUAUACUUCAAAUCCUACUUAUAAAGAAGUCUGCUCAGAAAAAACUGGCCAUGCAGAAGUCGUCCGAGUGGUGUACCAGCCAGAACACAUCAGUUUUGAGGAACUGCUCAAGGUCUUCUGGGAGAAUCACGACCCGACCCAAGGUAUGCGCCAGGGGAACGACCAUGGCACUCAGUACCGCUCGGCCAUCUACCCGACCUCUGCCAAGCAAAUGGAGGCGGCCCUGAGCUCCAAAGAGAACUACCAAAAGGUAGGGGUUGCUGGGCUCCAAGCCCCUGGCUUAGGCCACCAUGACUAGGGCCAGGUUCUGAUUUUAGAGGGGUGUCUGCUGCUUUUCAAUUGGAAUUGUGUUUUAUUUAUGCAUUGCUUAGAAAUUUCUGUCAGCCUCUAGGAGUGGAACCAUUGUGUCCAAUACAUGUGCUAAAUGGGGUUUUAAGAGUAGGCCUGGGCCAGGGCCAGUGGCUCAUGCCUGUAAUCCCAGCACUUUGGGAGGCCAAAGCAGAAGGAUGCUUGAGGGCAGGAGUUCAAGACCAGCCUGGGCAACAUGAAGAAACCCUAUCUGUACAAAAAAUACAAAAAUAAGCCAGGCAUGGUGGCCUGCACCUAUAGUCCCAGCAACCUGGG